GAUGAGCGCUGGCGGCGUGCCUAAUACAUGCAAGUCGAGCGAACAGACGAGGAGCUUGCUCCUCUGACGUUAGCGGCGGACGGGUGAGUAACACGUGGAUAACCUACCUAUAAGACUGGGAUAACUUCGGGAAACCGGAGCUAAUACCGGAUAAUAUAUUGAACCGCAUGGUUCAAUAGUGAAAGACGGUUUUGCUGUCACUUAUAGAUGGAUCCGCGCCGCAUUAGCUAGUUGGUAAGGUAACGGCUUACCAAGGCGACGAUGCGUAGCCGACCUGAGAGGGUGAUCGGCCACACUGGAACUGAGACACGGUCCAGACUCCUACGGGAGGCAGCAGUAGGGAAUCUUCCGCAAGGGGCGAAAGCCUGACGGAGCAACGCCGCGUGAGUGAUGAAGGUCUUCGGAUCGUAAAACUCUGUUAUUAGGGAAGAACAAAUGUGUAAGUAACUAUGCACGUCUUGACGGUACCUAAUCAGAAAGCCACGGCUAACUACG
rnacentral:rRNA from 1 species